GUAAACGUUGGGCACUAGGUGUGGGGGCCGUCCUUGGUUUCUGCGCCGUAGCUAACGCUUUAAGUGCCCCGCCUGGGGAGUACGGCCGCAAGGCUAAAACUCAAAGGAAUUGACGGGGGCCCGCACAAGCGGCGGAGCAUGCGGAUUAAUUCGAUGCAACGCGAAGAACCUUACCAAGGCUUGACAUGCACCGCGACACUGCAGAGAUGUGGUGGCCUUCGGGGUGGUGUGCAGGUGGUGCAUGGUUGUCGUCAGCUCGUGUCGUGAGAUGUUGGGUUAAGUCCCGCAACGAGCGCAACCCUUGCCCUAUGUUGCCAGCACGUGAUGGUGGGGACUCGUGGGGGACUGCCGGGGUUAACUCGGAGGAAGGUGGGGAUGACGUCAAAUCAUCAUGCCCCUUAUGUCUUGGGCUUCACGCAUGCUACAAUGGUCGGUACAGAGGGUUGCGAU
rnacentral:rRNA from 1 species